AUUGAACGCUGGCGGCAGGCUUAACACAUGCAAGUCGAGCGGAGAGAGGUAGCUUGCUACUGAUCUUAGCGGCGGACGGGUGAGUAAUGCUUAGGAAUCUGCCUAUUAGUGGGGGACAACAUUUCGAAAGGAAUGCUAAUACCGCAUACGUCCUACGGGAGAAAGCAGGGGAUCUUCGGACCUUGCGCUAAUAGAUGAGCCUAAGUCGGAUUAGCUAGUUGGUGGGGUAAAGGCCUACCAAGGCGACGAUCUGUAGCGGGUCUGAGAGGAUGGUCCGCCACGCUGGGACUGAGGCACGGACCAGACUCCUACGGGAGGUAGCAGUGGGGAAUAUUGGACAAUGGGCGGAAGCCUGAUCCAGCCAUGCCGCGUGUGUGAAGAAGGCCUUAUGGUUGUAAAGCACUUUAAGCGAGGAGGAGGCUACUUUAGUUAAUACCUAGAGAUAGUGGACGUUACUCGCAGAAUAAGCACCAGCUAACUCUGUGCCAGCCGCCGCGGUAAGAC
rnacentral:rRNA from 1 species